rnacentral:rRNA from 1 species
UCAUUAUUGAAAGAAACCUCAGGCAAGGGGGAGAUGGUUGUAGCUGGCCUCUAGGGGCAUGUGCACACUGUGUCUCUCUUGCUUGUUUCUUCAUUCUCUCCACUUGUGCACUGCUUGUAGGCAGCCCUGGCAUUGUUCAGGCUGUCUAUGAUUUUAUUUACAUACAUGAACAAUUGUUGUACAGAAUGUGAUAAAAAAUAGUAAUACAACUUUCAACAACGGAUCUCUUGGCUCUCGCAUCGAUGAAGAACGCAGCGAAAUGCGAUAAGUAAUGUGAAUUGCAGAAUUCAGUGAAUCAUCNGAAUCUUUGAACGCAUCUUGCGCUCCUUGGUAUUCCGAGGAGCAUGCCUGUUUGAGUGUCAUUAAAUUCUGUCAAAACAUGCACUUGAGUGUGUUUUGGAUUGUGGGAGUGUCUGCUGGCUUUAUGAGCCAGCUCUCCUGAAAUACAAUUAGCUUUGGGGGGGAGGUGCCAAGUCACUUCUGCCUUUCCAUUGGUGUGAUAGAUGAAUUAACUUAUCUACGCCAGGAAAGCAGGCUUCAGGUGAUGCACUGUGAUCUCUCUCUGCUCUCUAAUUGACAUUUGUCUGAUAACUUGACCUCAAAUCAGGUAGGACUACCCGCUGAACUUAAGCAUAUCAAUAAGCGGAGGAAAAGAAACUAACAAGGAUUCCCUUAGUAACUGCGAGUGAAGAGGGAAGAGCUCAAAUUUAAAAUCUGGCAGUGUUUUGCUGUC